CUUUGACCUAUCCAGCAAGAAAAAGUGUAGUCACCGCUACAGUCGCAGUGCGCGAUGUCAGUGGCCCAAAGAUAUGGUACAAUCAUUUCUGAGGUCUCCAAUCAGCUGCAUGUACAACCUUGAACAUUCCGCCGUUGAACUUGGAGGACUGAAGAAUUCUGGGUAAGGCCUAUACCAAGUUGAAGUGGUGCCUGUUAGGGGCUCCGUUUAAUUAUCUGUCUUGCUUGGAGUGCAUGGAUCUCGUUUUCCGAGUGGUCAAGGGAUAAAUAAAAAUAGAAUUUGGAAGAAAAAGCCAGAGUUCUGACUCUACUGGUUCCAGGCCUGUCUUCCACCACCUGCUCUCCGCGCACAUGCCAGGGCACCCAACCGCGUGCCAUCACAUUAAUUUUGACACUGAACGACAAUUAACUUUAUGCAGACAUGAAAGCUUCGUAUAUGUAUAAGAUAAUUAUUAUUUUAAAGAUAAAUGAACUUUAAAGGCGAUUUUAAUUUAACAGUCUGUUCUAUCACUAUUCAAAAGCAGUACUCCUCAAGCAAAUGUUUUGUUGUUAGUCUGCCCAGUGUUGCAAAAUAAGAAACUUUUUCCUGCUACCUCAACCAUUUGGGAAAAAAAUAAUAACCUAAUAAACAUCUUCCUAUGAGCAUGAAGAAAACGCUUGAUACAAUGCAAAAUUUAAACAAAACCCUCAAUUAGAAACGGGGUGCUCCCCGGACAGUUUGCAAAGCAUACCAAAAAUCCACUCACCAAAAAACAUCGACAUUGAAAGAGAGCCGGCUUUUAAAUUACGCACUUAGGCCUACAACUCUGUCGUA
rnacentral:lncRNA from 1 species